AUUGAACGCUGGCGGCAGGCCUAACACAUGCAAGUCGAACGGUAACAGGAAGAAGCUUGCUUCUUUGCUGACGAGUGGCGGGCGGGUGAGUAAUGUCUGGGAAACUGCCUGAUGGAGGGGGAUAACUACUGGAAACGGUAGCUACUACCGCAUAACGUCGCAAGACCAAAGAGGGGGACCUUCGGGCCUCUUGCCAUCGGAUGUGCCCAGAUGGGAUUAGCUAGUAGGUGGGGUAACGGCUCACCUAGGCGACGAUCCCUAGCUGGUCUGAGAGGAUGACCAGCCACACUGGAACUGAGACACGGUCCAGACUCCUACGGGAGGCAGCAGUGGGGAAUAUUGCACAAUGGGCGCAAGCCUGAUGCAGCCAUGCCGCGUGUAUGAAGAAGGCCUUCGGGUUGUAAAGUACUUUCAGCGGGGAGGAAGGGAGUAAAGUUAAUACCUUUGCUCAUUGACGUUACCCGCAGAAGAAGCACCGGCUAACUCCGUG
rnacentral:rRNA from 1 species